rnacentral:rRNA from 1 species
UACGUAGGGACCGAGCGUUGUCCGGAAUCAUUGGGCGUAAAGAGCGUGUAGGCGGCUUGUUAAGUCUUGCGUGAAAUCUCGGGGCUCAACCCCGAGCGGUCGUGGGAAACUGGGCGGCUAGAGUGCGGGAGAGGAGAGUGGAAUUCCUGGUGUAGCGGUGGAAUGCGCAGAUAUCAGGAAGAACACCCGUGGCGAAGGCGGCUCUCUGGAACGCAACUGACGCUGAGGCGCGAAAGCGUGGGGAGCAAACAGG